GCGUCGGUAGUGCAAUGGUUCAGCACGCGGUCCCGGAUAGAUUGAAAUCUGGGUUCGAAUUCCAUCUGACGUA